GACGAACGCUGGCGGCGUGCUUAACACAUGCAAGUCGAACGGUAAGGCCCUUCGGGGUACACGAGUGGCGAACGGGUGAGUAACACGUGGGUGAUCUGCCCUGCACUUCGGGAUAAGCCUGGGAAACUGGGUCUAAUACCGGAUAGGACCCUGGGAUGCAUGUCCUGGGGUGGAAAGCUUUUGCGGUGUGGGAUGGGCCCGCGGCCUAUCAGCUUGUUGGUGGGGUGAUGGCCUACCAAGGCGACGACGGGUAGCCGGCCUGAGAGGGUGACCGGCCACACUGGGACUGAGAUACGGCCCAGACGCCUACGGGAGGCAGCAGUGGGGAAUAUUGCACAAUGGGCGCAAGCCUGAUGCAGCGACGCCGCGUGAGGGAUGACGGCCUUCGGGUUGUAAACUUCUUUCAGCACCGACGAAGCGCAAGUGACGGUAGGUGCAGAAGAAGGACCGGCCAACUACGUGCCAGCAGCCGCCGUAA
rnacentral:rRNA from 1 species